AGAGUUUGAUCCUGGCUCAGGAUGAACGCUGGCGGCGUGCCUAAUACAUGCAAGUCGAGCGAACGGACGAGAAGCUUGCUUCUCUGAUGUUAGCGGCGGACGGGUGAGUAACACGUGGAUAACCUACCUAUAAGACUGGGAUAACUUCGGGAAACCGGAGCUAAUACCGGAUAAUAUUUUGAACCGCAUGGUUCAAAAGUGAAAGACGGUCUUGCUGUCACUUAUAGAUGGAUCCGCGCUGCAUUAGCUAGUUGGUAAGGUAACGGCUUACCAAGGCAACGAUGCAUAGCCGACCUGAGAGGGUGAUCGGCCACACUGGAACUGAGACACGGUCCAGACUCCUACGGGAGGCAGCAGUAGGGAAUCUUCCGCAAUGGGCGAAAGCCUGACGGAGCAACGCCGCGUGAGUGAUGAAGGUCUUCGGAUCGUAAAACUCUGUUAUUAGGGAAGAACAUAUGUGUAAGUAACUGUGCACAUCUUGACGGUACCUAAUCAGAAAGCCACGGCUAACUACGUGCCAGCAGCCGCGGUAAUACGUAGGUGGCAAGCGUUAUCCGGAAUUAUUGGGCGUAAAGCGCGCGUAGGCGGUUUUUUAAGUCUGAUGUGAAAGCCCACGGCUCAACCGUGGAGGGUCAUUGGAAACUGGAAAACUUGAGUGCAGAAGAGGAAAGUGGAAUUCCAUGUGUAGCGGUGAAAUGCGCAGAGAUAUGGAGGAACACCAGUGGCGAAGGCGACUUUCUGGUCUGUAACUGACGCUGAUGUGCGAAAGCGUGGGGAUCAAACAGGAUUAGAUACCCUGGUAGUCCACGCCGUAAACGAUGAGUGCUAAGUGUUAGGGGGUUUCCGCCCCUUAGUGCUGCAGCUAACGCAUUAAGCACUCCGCCUGGGGAGUACGACCGCAAGGUUGAAACUCAAAGGAAUUGACGGGGACCCGCACAAGCGGUGGAGCAUGUGGUUUAAUUCGAAGCAACGCGAAGAACCUUACCAAAUCUUGACAUCCUUUGACAACUCUAGAGAUAGAGCCUUCCCCUUCGGGGGACAAAGUGACAGGUGGUGCAUGGUUGUCGUCAGCUCGUGUCGUGAGAUGUUGGGUUAAGUCCCGCAACGAGCGCAACCCUUAAGCUUAGUUGCCAUCAUUAAGUUGGGCACUCUAAGUUGACUGCCGGUGACAAACCGGAGGAAGGUGGGGAUGACGUCAAAUCAUCAUGCCCCUUAUGAUUUGGGCUACACACGUGCUACAAUGGACAAUACAAAGGGCAGCGAAACCGCGAGGUCAAGCAAAUCCCAUAAAGUUGUUCUCAGUUCGGAUUGUAGUCUGCAACUCGACUACAUGAAGCUGGAAUCGCUAGUAAUCGUAGAUCAGCAUGCUACGGUGAAUACGUUCCCGGGUCUUGUAC
rnacentral:rRNA from 1 species